GAUGAACGCUGGCGGCGUGCCUAAUACAUGCAAGUCGAGCGAACGGACGAGAAGCUUGCUUCUCUGAUGUUAGCGGCGGACGGGUGAGUAACACGUGGAUAACCUACCUAUAAGACUGGGAUAACUUCGGGAAACCGUAGCUAAUACCGGAUAAUAUUUUGAACCGCAUGGUUCAAAAGUGAAAGACGGUCUUGCUGUCACUUAUAGAUGGAUCCGCGCUGCAUUAGCUAGUUGGUAAGGUAACGGCUUACCAAGGCAACGAUGCAUAGCCGACCUGAGAGGGUGAUCGGCCACACUGGAACUGAGACACGGUCCAGACUCCUACGGGAGGCAGCAGUAGGGAAUCUUCCGCAAUGGGAAAGCCUGACGGAGCAACGCCGCGUGAGUGAUGAAGGUCUUCGGAUCGUAAAACUCUGUUAUUAGGGAAGAACAUAUGUGUAAGUAACUGUGCACAUCUUGACGGUACCUAAUCAGAAAGCCACGGCUAACUACGUG
rnacentral:rRNA from 1 species